rnacentral:lncRNA from 1 species
GUUUUGUUUGUUUGUUUGUUUGUUUGUUUUUUUGAGAGAGAGCAAGUGGGAGAAGGGCAGAGAGAGAGGGAGUGAGAGGGAAGCCAAAGCAGGCUUCUCACCAAUCGCACAGAGCCUGACGUGGGGCUUGAACCCACGAACUGUGAAAUCAUGACCUGAGCCGAAACCAGGAAUUGGACACUUAACCAGUUAAGCCGCCCAGAUGCCCCUGUGGGAUGCCAGAGUGUUCUUAUGAGCCAAGAGGACUUGUGGAAGGAUCUGGCCUUGGGGUUGUUGUAAAACACUUAUCUUUGAAGGCUUCUCGCCAAAGGACAAAGGCCAUCAGCAAAAAGAGGCUGGAAGGCAUCACUGGCUACAGAGGAUGAAGAUGGGAUGAGAAGCACUUGGCCAGAGACCAGAAUGGCCCCAGGGUCCCCAGGGAGUGACUUUGGUGAGGAUUCCACAAAGUGCUGUUGAAGAGAAGGAAUCAUCACUGGGAAACUGCCUCACCCAGAAGACGCAAACAUCGUUCCAUAUCUGCCUUUGGUAAGGAUGGUCUCUCCUGCCCCUUUCAUGUCCUCCCAGCCUCUGUCUGGGGACGUCAGGGAAGGUGACCAGAAACCUUAAUUCUCCCUUGUAACAAAACAUAUCCAUAGGUUCCGGGGAUUAGGGUAUCUUUUGUGUUAGGGGUGCUAUUCUGCCUACCAUAUUUGCUAAAAUGAGAUUGUCCUUUGGAGCUGAAACAGACCAAAGGACUUUUUAUUGUUUAAGAGUGGCUAAACAAAAUGUAAAUUCAAAGCACAAUGAAAUAAAACCUCCCCCCCGUUGGGAUGGCUACUAUUGAAAACACAGAAAAUAACAAGUGUUAGUAAGAGUGUAGAGACACCAGAACUCUUGGGCGCUGUUGGUGAGAUUGCUAAAUGGCACAACCACAACAGAAAACAGUUUGAAGUUUCCUCAAAAAAUAAAAACUAGAGCCACCAUAUGGUCUAGUCAUUCCACUGGAUCCCAUACUUUUGAAAGCAGGGUCCAGAAGAGAUAUUUGCAUAGCCAUGUUCACGGCACUAUUCACAACAGCCAAAAGGUGGGAGCAAUCCAAAUGUCCGUUGGUGGAUGAAUAGAUAAACAAAAUGUUGUCUAUACAUACACCGGAAUAUCAUUCAGCCUUCAAAACAAAGGAAAUGCCAUCACAUGCUACAACAUGAAUGAACCUUGAGGUCAUUGUGCUACGUGAAAUAAGCCAGUCACAAAAAGACAAAUGCUGUUUGAUUCUAUUUAUAAGAAGUAUCUACGGUAGUCAAAUUCAUAGAAACGGAGAGUAAAGGGGUAGUUCAUGGUGGGAAGCUGGGGCCAGGAAAAGGAGGAAAAUGGGAGUUUUUGUUUAAUGGGUAAAGAGUUUGAAAUGACCUUUUUUUUUUUUUUUCAGAUGAAAAAGUUCUGGAGAUCUGUUUCACCAUAAUGUGACUCUACUUCACAUUACCAAACUGUAUACUUAAAAAUGGUUCAGAUGGUAAAUUUAAUGUUAUGCGUCUUUUAACCACCUUCAAAAAAAGAGUGAAGGAAGUAUGGGAUCCAAAACCUCAGUAAAGUUUUCACUUCAGGGGAGAUAAAGGUUGAAUCCACAAAUUUGGUUUGAAUGGGCCCUGGGAAAAAGAAUCAAGUUGUUUCCUGCUCGUAUCCUACCUAUCAUGUCCUGCUAUUGUGAUAUAAUGGUUACCAGUUAACUAUAAACAAGGCCAGUGUUCAUUAUUAAGGACUUGUGAAAAGCAAAUUUUAAAGGAAAUUUCAUUUCUAGCUAUGACGUAUAGGUAUAAACAUUACGUAAGGCUACGUGGGCGUGUGUGUGUGUGUGUGUGUGUGUGUGUGUAGAGAAAUUUAUAUUUCUUUCUAUGUACAUGUAAAGUGACAGGACCAUUCUUGGGCAGUUGGAUCUGGUAUACUUCAAUGACUUAAGGUCAGAUUGACCCCAGUGAUGUCAUUAUACCUAUAGUUUAUGUUGCAUUAACAUUUUUUUUUAAGUUCAGAAAUAUCGCUCAAUCAUUUGCUCUAGACCGAAUGUUAUGUCUUCUUAAAAUUCCUAUGUUGAAACCUAACCCUCAAUGUGGUCUUUGGAGGUAGAACCUUGGCAGAUGCUUAGGACAUGAUGGGGGAACCCUCAUGAAUGGGAUUAGUGCCCUUAUGAAAGAGACCCCAGGGAGCUCCCUUCCCACUUCUGCCAUGUGAGGACAUAGUGAGAAGACUGUGACCUGGAAGAGGGCCCUCAUCCAACCAUGCUGGCACCUUAGAUCUCAGAUGUCCAGCCUCCAGAUCUGUGGGCAAUCAAUUUCUGUUGUUUUGAAGGCUCCCAGCCUGGGCUAACUUGUUCUCGCAGCCAAAUGGGAUAAGACACCUAGCCUCGAAAGUCACACAGCACAGCCUCUACAAUGUUCCCCAUGUCAGUAUCAAGACGCCUAGUCUAGUCACCUGCAAGGGAAGGGAAAUUAGACUCCACCUUUUGGAGGUGGCAGUGUCCAUGAAUUUGUAGAUGUAUUUAAAAGCCAUCAUGC